rnacentral:lncRNA from 1 species
AUAAAUAAAAUAGCAUGCAAUAAUAUCAGACAGUAACUACCAUAAAUAACUACCACAUGGGAGACACAAUCCAAUACACAAAUCAUCUAUGGGUAGCCCUGCCAAGCCUCACCCAACCUCGGGUGACGGGUACGAAAAACUCUAGGAGCCCCUAUCCUACAACCCUGAUACUAGACCUCCAGACUUUCCUAUCAAGGGUCAUGUCCUCGGAAACCCGCAUUCUAGCCAUGUCAUGCAUAAUCACCUCUCCCCAGUACCUCUUAGGCCUCCCCCUGCCUCG